rnacentral:lncRNA from 1 species
UCAAAUUCAUCUUGAUCAAAGAUCAAGUGAAUUGCUUUGCAUUAGAGAUAGGUUGCUUCUUGGUCAAGCAAAAAAACCUAAAUUCAUACAAGAUUAUUCUUCUUUUCUUUUGGCAUGACAAGUUGUAGGAGCUUAGCUUACUAGUCACGGUCUCUAACUUGUGUUUGUUGCCUAUAGUUUUAUUGACCGACCUCAGAUAGGUGUGAC